rnacentral:rRNA from 1 species
GACGAACGCUGGCGGCGUGCUUAACACAUGCAAGUCGAACGGAGUGGCGAACGGGUGAGUAACACGUGGGUGACCUGCCCUGCACUUCGGGAUAAGCCUGGGAAACUGGGUCUAAUACCGGAUAGUGGGGGAUGGGCCCGCGGCCUAUCAGCUUGUUGGUGGGGUAAUGGCCUACCAAGGCGGCGACGGGUAGCCGGCCUGCGAGGGUGGACGGCCACAGUGGGACUGAGACACGGCCCAGACGCCUACGGGAGGCAGAAGGGGGGAAGAUUGCACAAUGGGCGGAAGCAUGAUGCAGCGACGCCGAGGGGGGGAGGACGGCCUUCGGGUUGUAAACGCCUUUCACCAUCGACGCGGUAGAUGGAGAAGAAGCACCGGCUAACUACGUGCCAGCAGCCGCGGUAAUAC